UGAAGUGAUGAUAUAUGCCACUUGGCAUACCAAUAGUGACUAGCCACGGCUAUGAUGUCUACUUUAUUAACCAUCUUUCGGGGCUGAUU
rnacentral:snoRNA from 1 species